GAUGAACGCUAGCGGCAGGCUUAACACAUGCAAGUCGAGGGGUAUAGUAGCAAUACUAGAGACCGGCGCACGGGUGCGUAACGCGUAUGCAACCUACCUUUUACAGAGGGAUAGCCCAGAGAAAUUUGGAUUAAUACCUCAUAGUGUUAUUAGAUGGCAUCAUUUGAUAACUAAAGUUCCAACGGUAAAGAUGGCAUGCGUCCUAUUAGCUAGAUGGUAAGGUAACGGCUUACCAUGGCUACGAUAGGUAGGGGUCCGUGAGAGGGAGAUCCCCACACUGGUACUGAGACACGGACCGAGACUCCUACGGGAGGCAGCAGUGAGGAAUAUUGGAC
rnacentral:rRNA from 1 species